rnacentral:lncRNA from 1 species
GAAAAAUUUCAGCGGUUUACGAUGAAAAUUUGCAGCAACACAAAAUCAUUUUUAGAGAUGAAUUCCUCAAUAGAUCAAUCUUAGAUGGAAGCCAAGAUGAUCUAUGAAGUGUAUAAGAAAUUUCGUUCAAAAAAGAUUGCAAAUAGAUGGGUUAAGGCAACAAUAUGCGACUGAAAUUUUCUACAGCAUAGAUUUUCAAGUGUAGCAGAUUGGACGUAAAAGAUCAGUAGUUUAUAUUGAGAAUUUUUCGAUGAAAUCAAAGGGAAAUCCACUGGUAGAAAGCGUCAAAGCUAUCAUAAAAAUUUUGUAGAGAUUUGGACAGAAAAAAUAUAGUAUCAAGAUCAAACAAAUAGUGCUAUGCGGCUGAAAUUUUACAGUGCAAAUUUUCAAGUAUA